AAGACUUUAUCGACGGAAGUAAAUAAGUGCAGUAUAAUGUGAAAGCUGGAAGAUUAUUUCGAAAAGAAUUCACUAUAAGAUCCCACAUGGAACAAGCAGUCGAUGACAAUAGAGGCGCGCGCGCAGGUCACGGGCGGUGCGGCCGGAAGCGGACCGGACGCCGGGAUUGCGACGCGAGCCCCUGAUUCCUUCCGCCCAUUCCAAUGGACGCACUCCCAAAACUUAAACUACAAUUUAUAAGAAACUAGCGAGUCUACGAAACGUUAACAAGAACUGCUAAGACACUGAAGAGGAUCUUAUGAAGGAUGUUAUUUCGCUAGAACUAAUCGAAGCAAUGGUACAUAGGUUAAGUUUAAAUAAAGACUGCCUGCUAAAAUAAAACGACAAUAUAGUGUAACAAUCACUCUGACUUGAACACAUCAUCAAUGUCAAAAACGUAGUCAGAAUAUGCACUAUGCAAUCAGGAAUAAUUCGAGUCAAUACCAAAGAGGAGGCAACCCUACCAGUGACCCAGAGAAGACUGUUAUACCGGUUGCAGUAAAGUUAUCGAGGAAUCACUGAUAACUGAACAUAAAUAGAAUAUUGUAACACUACCAAAGAUUGAUAUGUAUUUUAAAAAUAAAAUAUUAGA